AUAAUGAAGACGGACAAAUUUGGACGGAUUAAGACCCAUGCUUGUGUAACGCUUCGUGAUUUAUUUUCUUCGAUAUAUUUCUGUCUUCAACAUUCCACACAAUCAGCGGGUUGGGGAAACAUAUCGACAAACACAUUCUCGCUUCAGAAAUCUUACAUAGAUAUAUAUUGAAAGUGUUCCCAGCAAUUGUUAUUAUGUAAUGGACGCUGCGUGAGAGACCAUCAGUCAGCCUAUACAACACUUCUCCAACAUUUCUCAAAUCCCCAUCAACCUACCUGGAAGGCAUCAAUCAAUCAAUCAACUUCUGGUGUCAACUUCAGGUGGAACCCGGCGCUCGUCCCUUGCAUCAAUCAGUUUCUAAAGUUUAAACAAAAAAAUCUGAGGCGAUUUUUCUCUCAUGUAAAUAAUCAGCUCAGACCUUCGGCGGGGGAGUGAGAGUUCUUUAGAGUAAAAGAUGUCUGGCUUCUCUCCUUUUGAUUAUGGGGGAGAUUUUUUUUUUUUUUCAAAUUGAUACUUAGGGUAUGUUAUUAUCUCUAUCAUAUAGAGGAACAAUGGAUGAUGUCUUUGGCUGAGUUGAGAUUUGUGAACACUUUGUCCUACGGAAGAGGUAAAACUGCGCAUAGAGAGAGAGAGAGAGAGAGAGAGAGAGAGAGAGAGAGAGAGAGAGAGAGAGAGAGAGAAUGACAGUCUGAUUAUGAUAGAGAGAGUUGAACAAA